rnacentral:rRNA from 1 species
GACGAACGCUGGCGGCGUGCCUAAUACAUGCAAGUUGAGCGCUGAAGGUUGGUACUUGUACCAACUGGAUGAGCAGCGAACGGGUGAGUAACGCGUGGGGAAUCUGCCUUUGAGCGGGGGACAACAUUUGGAAACGAAUGCUAAUACCGCAUAAAAACUCUAAACACAAGUUUUAAGUUUGAAAGAUGCAAUUGCAUCACUCAAAGAUGAUCCCGCGUUGUAUUAGCUAGUUGGUGAGGUAAAGGCUCACCAAGGCGAUGAUACAUAGCCGACCUGAGAGGGUGAUCGGCCACAUUGGGACUCAGACACGGCCCAAACUCCUACGGGAGGCAGCAGUAGGGAAUCUUCGGCAAUGGACGAAAGUCUGACCGAGCAACGCCGCGUGAGUGAAGAAGGUUUUCGGAUCGUAAAACUCUGUUGGUAGAGAAGAACGUUGGUGAGAGUGGAAAGCUCAUCAAGUGACGGUAACUACCCAGAAAGGGACGGCUAACUACGUG